rnacentral:rRNA from 1 species
UGGGGAAUUUUGGACAAUUGGGCGAAAGCCUGAUCCAGCAAUGCCGCGUGUGUGAAGAAGGCCUUCGGGUUGUAAAGCACUUUUGUCCGGAAAGAAAUCCUUGGCUCUAAUACAGUCGGGGGAUGACGGUACCGGAAGAAUAAGCACCGGCUAACUACGUGCCAGCAGCCGCGGUAAUACGUAGGGUGCAAGCGUUAAUCGGAAUUACUGGGCGUAAAGCGUGCGCAGGCGGUUUGCUAAGACCGAUGUGAAAUCCCCGGGCUCAACCUGGGAACUGCAUUGGUGACUGGCAGGCUAGAGUAUGGCAGAGGGGGGUAGAAUUCCACGUGUAGCAGUGAAAUGCGUAGAGAUGUGGAGGAAUACCGAUGGCGAAGGCAGCCCCCUGGGCCAAUACUGACGCUCAUGCACGAAAGCGUGGGGAGCAAACAGGAUUAGAUACCCUGGUAGUCCACGCCCUAAACGAUGUCAACUAGUUGUUGGGGGAUUCAUUUCCUUAGUAACGUAGCUAACGCGUGAAGUUGACCGCCU